rnacentral:rRNA from 1 species
UACGAACCGUGCGAACGUUGUUCGGAUUCACUGGGCUUAAAGGGCGCGUAGGCGGGCGGUCAAGUCAAGGGUGAAAUCUUUCAGCUCAACUGGAAAAGUGCCUUUGAUACUGAUCGUCUUGAGGGAGGUAGGGGCAUGUGGAACUUCCGGUGGAGCGGUGAAAUGCGUAGAUAUCGGAAGGAACGCCGGUGGCGAAAGCGACGUGCUGGACCUCUUCUGACGCUGAGGCGCGAAAGCUAGGGGAGCAAACGGG